rnacentral:rRNA from 1 species
UACGUAGGGACCAAGCGUUGUUCGGAUUUACUGGGCGUAAAGGGCGCGUAGGCGGCCACCGCAAGUCGACUGUGAAAUCUCCGGGCUUAACCCGGAACGGUCAGCCGAUACUGCGGGGCUAGAGUGCAGAAGGGGCAACUGGAAUUCUCGGUGUAGCGGUGAAAUGCGUAGAUAUCGAGAGGAACACCUGCGGCGAAGGCGGGUUGCUGGGCUGACACUGACGCUGAUGCGCGAAAGCUAGGGGAGCGAACGGG